rnacentral:rRNA from 1 species
CAAGCGACUGUUUACCAAAAACAUAGGUUUCUGCUAAGUCGCAAGACGAUGUAUAGGAGCUGACGCCUGCCCGGUGCUGGAAGGUUAAGGGGAUCUGUUAGAGCAAUCGAAGCAGUGAACUUAAGCACCAGUAAACGGCGGCCGUAACUAUAACGGUCCUAAGGUAGCGAAAUUCCUUGUCGGGUAAGUUCCGACCCGCACGAAAGGCGUAACGAUUUGGGCACUGUCUCAACAACAGACUCGGUGAAAUUGUAAUUCCGGUGAAGAUGCCGGAUACCUGCGACAGGACGGAAAGACCCCAUGGAGCUUUACUGUAG